rnacentral:rRNA from 1 species
UAGAGGGUAGCAAUAUUCUCUAGUCGGAGUGGCGCAAGGGUGCGUAACACGUGGGUAAUCUGCCGUGAAGAUUGGGAUAACUCGCUGAAAGGCGAGCUAAUACCGGAUGUGACUGUUGGGAGGCAUCUCCUGACAUUCGAAGCUGGGGACCGCAAGGCCUGGCGCUUCACGAUGAGCCCGCGGCCUAUCAGCUAGUUGGUGAGGUAACGGCUCACCAAGGCUAAGACGGGUAGCUGGUCUGAGAGGACGACCAGCCACACUGGAACUGAGACACGGUCCAGACACCUACGGGUGGCAGCAGUCGAGAAUUUUUCACAAUGGGCGCAAGCCUGAUGGAGCGACGCCGCGUGGGGGAUGAAGGGUUUCGAUCCGUAAACCCCUGUCAUUUGCGAACAAACCUUAUGGAAUAACACUUCAUGAGCUGAUUGUAGUGAAAGAGGAAGGGACGGCUAACUCUGUGCCAGCAGCCGCGGUAAUACAGAGGUCCCAAGCGUUGUUCGGAUUCACUGGGCGUAAAGGGUGCGUAGGUGGCCAGGUAAGUUUGGUGUGAAAGCUCGGAGCUCAACUCCGAAAUGGCAUUGAAUACUAUCUGGCUGGAGGGUCGGAGGGGAGACUGGAAUUCUCGGUGUAGCAGUGAAAUGCGUAGAUAUCGAGAGGAACACCAGUGGCGAAGGCGAGUCUCUGGACGACACCUGACACUGAGGCACGAAAGCUAGGGGAGCAAACAGGAUUAGAUACCCUGGUAGUCCUAGCUGUAAACGGUGCACGUUUGCUGUAAGAGGAAUCGACCCCUUUUGUGGCGAAGCUAACGCGCUAAACGUGCCGCCUGGGGA